ACCGCGACCCCAGGUCAGGCGGGAUUACCCGCUGA
rnacentral:rRNA from 1 species